rnacentral:lncRNA from 1 species
UUCCAGUCUCACCUGCCCUGAUGUCUUUACCCCUAGCAUACCUGUGACCUGAUGUUUCACGUACUUUCCAUUCAUUUCUCAGAACUGCUGAGACAUAAUAGGUCUGUUACGGUUGAAUACACAGAUCACAAUAGAAUCUUCAUUUUUAUUUCAUCUUAGUUAUUCUAACCUCUUUCCCGCAGUGAUUAACUGUUACAGAGCAUGACCUUUAGACGAAUGGAGACUCACUGAGGCACGUAUGUUUCACACAAACUACUCACAAGUUUUCAAAACCCACUAGUUAUAACAAAUACAGUCUGUCUGCAGUGAUUGGCAUGUGUCCAGUGUUUGUAAUCUGGAAAUAACCUUGGCUGCUAGUUUGGAGAAAAAAUAGAACCAGGAUUUAAUUUUACAUACUUUACAUUCACAAACAUUCAAUCACUGUCUCUGUCGACUUUGAGAUCCAAUCACAGAGAUGAAUGUUGCUGACCGCUUGCUUCUCUAGUUAUACCAACUUUAGUAACUACCGCACGAUAGCAAUACACAGCGGCCUGAGGAGCCAUAAACAAACCUCAACCAAAACGCCACUCUGUAGGCACAACUAAUGCUCAGAACAGCACCUAACUUCAUCAACAGUACAUAUAGAGUCCCAACCAUAGUACUAGCCACCAAACAUCUUUUUAGCGUUGCCUGAUUUAUUUAGCAAAGAGACUAAACACAACUCACCUACUCUCUUCCAGCAGCCACUUGUUUGUAGCAGUGGGUUGACACAGUUCAAGGAAGAACAUUUAUGAUCAUUACUUUAUCAUUUCCUUAAAGUAAUAAUCACCAUAUCAAUCAUUUUGCACUUCAGACAUGGUAGUUCUUCUGCCUUAGCGUCUUGGUCUGAUUGCGUUUCCAUAAAGACAUAAUCAUAAAUGUUCUUCCUUGAGCUGCGUCUUGAGCUGUACUCCAUAAUAGACUGGCCCGAGGUCUUGCUACAAACAAGUGGCUGCUGGAAGAGAGUAGGUGAGUUGUGUUUAGUCUCUUUGCUAAAGAAAUCAGGCAAAGCUAAAAAGAUGUUUGGUGGCUAGUACUAUGUACUGUUGAUGAAGUUAGGUGCUGUUCUGAGCAUUAUUUGUGGCAAGAGUGGCACUUAAAUUGUUUGUUUAUGGCUCCUCAGACUGCUGUGUAUUGCUAUUGUACGGUCAUUCCUAAAGUUGGUAUAACUAGAGAAGCAAGCGGUCGGCAACAUUCAUCUCUCGAAGGGGUGUAACUCUGUGUUACUGUGUGUUUGACCCUGACUUAAUUUUACACUGGAAUAUCCCUUUAAAUCAAAUUAAGAUUUGUACUUUAAGGGAAAUUUUGUUGUCUUUCAGAGUUCUAUUGGCACCAAACUGCAGCAACAUGCAUCUACAAGGACUGACACCUGGAUACGGUUCAAAGUCUCUUGGAACCACAAUCAGUCAAGUACAGAGACUCAGGAACAGAUAACAAUACACACUGCAGUCUAUUCAGAACUACAGACUGCAAAAUGCUGGCUGCAUGCAGAUUCAACUCAGAUAAAGGAUAAAUACAAAAAUAAAGGGCUGACCACAGGUGUGAACAAAGCACCAUUUCCAAAAACAUUUACAAAUGGGGGACGCUGUGUGGAUCUUUGGGGAACUUUUUGAAGAUCUAACCCCCUCGCACCUACAACAACCAAAGAUAAAUGGGAUCUUUUAUCAUUUUAGAUGUUGUAUAAUUGUACAACUGAAGUCCCAGAGUUGAUGCGGGCUUCAGAUUCUAAGAGCUGCAACCUUGAGUUCACAAGCUUAGGGGAAUUUAUCUGAUCAUGACACCCUGAAUCGCAAACACAUCUUAUCAUGGCCAUUGUCCACAUUUUGGUUAAGAUCCUCUUGGAGAAGCUUUAGAGAGUGUGAGAAAAUACACCUUUAUAUUUGAAGAUAUAGAAUUGUUUACAAGUGUAAAAAAAAAAAAAAGCUUUUAUAAAAGACACUCGUAUUAUAAUUUCUGUGAAGUCAGUCCAGAGGAACUUGUCUGUUAUGGGCUAAUCGGUGUACAGCAGUCUGAAUAAUUAAAGAUAUUAAAGAUAGAAUAGUCAGCGUUCAACAGCAAGGAUUAAAACAAUGUGUAUCUCAUGGCUAUCUCUUUCCUGUUUAUGUAAGAACAAAGCAAGUCAUGUCUGAGUUAGAGUUUAGUCUGUCUGAAAGUGCAUUUCAAAAGUGCACUGUUACAAAAAAGGUGGUGUGAGUAGUUUCAAGUUUAUACAUUUACUGAUACGAAUGAUAACAUAAAAUAUAGUGUCGUCCGCAAAAAAUUGAACAUAGUCAUAAUAAACCAUCUAUUUCAACUUGCAAUCAACUAUCAACAUACAAAAACAAAACCUGCAAUGUAGUGAAUGUUUGUAUGGAACAUAUUUGCAUAACACUGACUGAUAAAUUUAUGAAAAUAAGACUGUGGCAACUUAAAAAUGACAGCUGUAUGGGUCUUACGUGCAAGCAGCCUGCUAGGACAUUUACUGUUUUUAGAGACCUCCUGGGAUCAGCAGGGGAUGUUUAAUUUACCUUAUUAAGCAGGUAGAGCCCUCAGUCUUCAGGAAGUUCUCUGUUAACAUUUACCUAAAGUUAAAACCAAGACAUACAGUGAGGCAUCUUUUUAUUACUAUGGCCCCUGUCUA